AUCGCUUCUCGGCCUUUUGGCUAAGAUCAAGUGUAAAAUAUAUUUAAUUCUUUAGAAUUAAUUAAAUAAUUAAAAGUAAUUUUUUAAUGUUUAUUUAUUUUUGAGAGAGAGAGAGAGAGUGUGAGCAGGGGAGGGCGGAGAGAAAGGGAAACACAGAAUCUGAAGCAGGCUCCAGGCUCUGAGCUGUCAGCACAGGCU